AAAAAAAAAGACGUGGGAUGGGGAUAGAAGGUUAUUGUGUCUCAGGAGCACAAACACUUGUAACUCUACAGGUGUAACUGUAUGGUUGAUGGGUGAUGGUGAAUAUGGACAUGUACACGGUGCAUACUUGUCUCUAACCUGUGUUUCAUAGGUACCAUCAAAGUCGUCCAGGAGGCGGGUCAGGCCGAAGUCAGACACCUUGCAGCACAGGUUCUGACUCACCAAGAUGUUCCUGGCAGCCAGGUCCCGAUGGACAUAAUUGUGGUCACUGAGGUAGUUCAUGCCAGCUGCUAUGCCCUGCAGCAUGGCCACCAGCUGCCCAGGGGCCAGCUGGUCCUCCCGUUCCUGCAGCAGGAUGAGUGGGGACACACAAGGAAGAAUGGACUUAGUGCAGGCUCUUGCAUCCUCCACUGACUGUAAUACCUCGGGUAGAGGAGCCUGCCUGCGGGGUAUGAAGAGUCGAAGACUCAGGGACCUUGAGGGGAGCAGCUUGAAGAUCCGAGGGAGUCAAAGAUCCCUUGAAGAAUCUGAGGAAAGCUUUGGCUCUCCUCUCCAGAAACGUAACUUAGAAUACACUUUUGGAUGGU